CAGAAGGAGAAAAAAAAACUCCGGGGCUUGUUAUGGAGUUCGUGUGAAAGCAACACGGAUUUCCACCCUUCUUUACCAGUUAAACCAGUAUCUCUGGAUAGAGCACGCUCAAGUACAGCAACAGGUAGAGUCUCUGACCGCAAACUCCUCCGUGGCUCCUCUGAAAAUAAUCCCCCCGUGUCUCUCUCCGUUUAUCUCAAUUGAGUUUCCAGCCCUUUUGUUCGCUCUUCUUAUCACUUGGAAAAGGUGAACCCUCGUGUUAUUUUUAUUUUAAUCUUUGCUCUAAUUGUAGUUUUUACCCUUGUGGUCCCUGAUGGCUUCGCACAGUGAUACUCUGGUGGUGUUCUUUGGGGCAACAGCUGGUGCAAAUGGGGGUAAACUGGGUUCGGAUGAGAGGGAAAUAAUUCUCUUGGUGUGGCAAAUUGUGGAUCUACAUGAGAAAAAGGUUGGAAAGCUUCAUAAAUGUUUUGUAAAGCCUGACACUUUGGAGCUGACGGACCUGUGUAAAGAGGAGACGGGACUGGCUGUGGACAACCUCAUCAAUGCUGAGCCCCUGGACAAAGUCCUGCUACAGUUCCAGCAGACGGUGUCCUCAGAAGUUAAAUUCCUCGGCAGGAGCUCUUACACACUGUGUGUGAACAGUCCCAACGUCAUCCGACAGGCUCUUCAUCCUGAAGCCUCCAAAAAGAAUUUGGUACUCCCUGAAUGCUUCUUUACAUUUUCGGACGUGAGGAAGGAGUUUCUAAAAUGCUGUCCAAACGCCGGCCCCGUGCAGAAGCUCACGCUUGCCUCCAUGUUGGAAUAUGUGGGGCUUGCUGCAGUGUCGGAGCAGUCGUUUGGGGAGCGGGAGGUGAGCAGCAUGGUGCAGCUCGUACUCUGCAUCCUGGCUGAACCCCACAAUCACAAGUUCUCCUGUGCUGAGAUGGUGAAGUACAAGUUCGACUCCGGCACGUGCAGUAAGACGGAGCCGGUGGACAGUGAGACUGUGAUCAGAGCGCGGGGGCUUCCAUGGCAAUCCUCAGACCAAGACAUCGCUCGCUUCUUUAAAGGACUCAAUAUUGCCAAAGGUGGCGUGGCCCUGUGUCUCAACGCUCAGGGCCGCAGGAACGGCGAAGCUUUAGUUCGCUUCAUCAACUCGGAGCACAGAGACUUGGCUCUGGAGCGCCACAAACAUCACAUGGGCAGCCGCUACAUAGAGGUCUACAAGGCCACAGGAGAGGAAUUCCUUAAGAUUGCAGGAGGCACUUCGAACGAGGUGGCCCAGUUCCUGUCCAAGGAGAACCAGGUGAUUAUCCGCAUGCGGGGGCUGCCGUUCACGGCCACGUCCCAAGAGGUGCUGUCCUUCCUCGGUCCCGAGAGCCCGGUGACGGACGGUUCUGAGGGUCUGCUCUUCGUCAAAUACCCCGACGGACGGCCCACCGGCGACGCCUUCGUGCUCUUCUCCUGUGAAGAGUACGCACAGAACGCCCUGAAGAAGCACAAACAGAUCCUGGGGAAGCGUUACAUCGAGCUGUUUCGCAGCACGGCGGCCGAAGUGCAACAGGUCCUGAACCGGUACAUGUCUGCCCCCCUGAUCUCCACCCUGCCCUCCUCCCCCAUCAUGCCCAUGCCGGUCCUUUCCACGCCGCCCUUCCUUCCGGCGGCCAGCAGCACUCGGGACUGCAUCCGCCUGCGCGGUUUGCCCUACACCGCCGGCAUCGAAGACAUCCUGGAAUUCAUGGCCGAGCACACCGUCGACAUCAAGCCUCACGGAGUCCACAUGGUCCUCAACCAGCAGGGCCGGCCGUCCGGCGACGCCUUCAUCCAGAUGAAGUCACCUGACAAAGCGUUCAUGGUGGCCCAGAAGUGCCAUAAGAAGACGAUGAAGGAUCGAUACAUCGAGGUCUUCCAGUGCUCCACGGAGGAGAUGAGCAUCGUCCUGAUGGGAGGAACGCUGAACCGCAGCGGCCUCUCUCCUCCACCCUGCAAACUUCCCUGCCUUUCUCCCCCCACGGCCUAUGCUGCUUUCCCCACCCCGCCCGCCAUUCUGCCCGAGGCGGCCCUCUACCAGCCCCCCCUGCUGGCUGCUCCCAGACCUCAGGCCGCUGCGCACACCCCCGCUCACACCCUGGCCUACUACCCCCCUCAGCCCCACCUGUAUAUGAACAUGAACAUGAACUACACCGCUUACUAUCCGAGCCCUCCAGUCUCUCCUUCCACAGUGGGCUACUUCGCAGCUCCGUCGGGGGCGAUGGCGGCAGCAAUGGCCGCUCAGCCUCACCACGCUGCAGCGGCUGCCUCUCCUGUCCUGCCCCAGCCAGGUGCCCUGGUUCGAAUGCAGGGUCUGCCGUACAAUACGGGAAUCAAAGACAUCCUCAGCUUCUUCCAGGGAUACCAGUCCAAGCUAGGUGGAGUCCCCUGAAGCAGUACGCCCCUGACGAGUACAGCGGCAUGGUUCAGAUGAGCGAACAGGCCAGGAGUCUGAUUCAGCCCAAAGAAUGGCUCUGUCUUUAGGGAGUCCCGCCAAGCUCCAGCCAGACACCGUUUUCAUCCUGUAUAACUUCAGCGGGCAGUGCAGCGGCGAGGCCUUGAUCACCUUCCCUAGCGAGGAGCUCGCCAGGCAGGCCGUCGCCGAGCGCUCCAACCGCCUCUUCUACGGCCAGCAGGUUCACCUGGUCCUCUGUAACUGACCCUCGACCCGCCCCUCCCCGCCCGCAGCAGCCCCCCCUACAGCUCCAGAGUCCAGCGCCAUGAAAACACCCUCCACGAUCCGCUCUUGCUGACGCGCACGCCGCCUGUCCCGACACUCCUGAAGCCGCUUUGGGAGUUUGGUCGUCCACUCAGGAACCAGCUGAGGCCCUUGGUGGACGUUACAUGUAGCAUUUCUGUGUAUUUGCGGCAGCUGCAGCAACUGGUUUGUGGAGCCCGGACCCCCCCCAACAUGCGAGUACGUUUAAACCCCCUCCGUCAGCCCAUCCAUCCCACAGCGGAGCGUACAGACGUUCACCCCGAGAAACCCCGGACUGGACAAACCACUUCCUCACAAUCUUUUGCUUUAUUUUUGUACAUUUUCGCUCUUUACCAUGACGAGAUCUCGACUCUUGUGUUGAUGAACGGUUGUGUUAUAUCUACGUAUGUGUGUAUGUGUGUGUGCUGGCUCAGUGCGAUGUUGUCGAGAGAGAAUAAGCCAUAAAGACUACUGAAACGGAGUACACCGGUACUCUGGACACUGUCCCGAAUGAACAUGAAGUCUGUUUGUGCUUCAGGGAUGACGAGCAGCUGUUCCACUAGACCACAGCUGAGAACCAGCUAAACUCUAACUUACUUUUUCUUCUGUACAAAGCAUUUAUUUGACAUUUGUCAUGGUAUUUCCACUUUUUUUUUUUUUUUUUUUCAAGCACUACACAUUUUUUUUCCCGAUCAAAGACUUGGGGAACAAAGCCAAAUUAAUUCUAUUUUUAUUAAUAAAUAAUAUCUUUGUUUCUAUAAACUGAGGUCUAGAUGUUGAAGGUCGAAUGACCGAGACGCUUCUCAUAUUGAUGGAUUGUAGCUUCUGUGUCUUUUCUGUUGUCGUUUCCAGACUUGUCCGCCAGUCUGUGCUUUCGUUCCUGCCUCCAGAGUACUGCGUUAAAGCUGCAUGACUUUCCUUCCUGCGACAGGCCUACAUUACCCAGAGUGCAAUACUGGCAGGGAUGAGGCCAGUGGUCAGCCUCUGGCGGCAGAGGAUGUAUUUUCUUUUGCGCGCAAGUUUGACACUUGCAUGAGUUUAGAUCUGUGUAAAGACUGUAAACAGUAAAAAGAAAAAAAAGAAAAAUAAACAUGUUGAAGAUCUG